rnacentral:rRNA from 1 species
AUUGAACGCUGGCGGCAGGCUUAACACAUGCAAGUCGAGCGGGGGAAGUUGCUUCGGUAAUUGACCUAGCGGCGGACGGGUGAGUAAUACUUAGGAAUCUGCCUAUUAAUGGGGGACAACAUCUCGAAAGGGAUGCUAAUACCGCAUACGCCCUACGGGGGAAAGCAGGGGAUCACUUGUGACCUUGCGUUAAUAGAUGAGCCUAAGUCGAAUUAGCUAGUUGGUGGGGUAAAGGCCUACCAAGGCGACGGUCUGUAGCGGGUCUGAGAGGAUGAUCCGCCACACUGGGACUGAGACACGGCCCAGACUCAUACGGGAGGUAGCAGUGGGGAAUAUUGGACAAUGGGGGGAACCCUGAUCCAGCCAUGCCGCGUGUGUGAAGAAGGCCUUAUGGUUGUAAAGCACUUUAAGCGAGGAGGAGGCUCUUUUGGUUAAUACCCAAGAUGAGUGGACGUUACUCGCAGAAUAAGCACCGGCUAACUCUGUGCCAGCCGCCGCCGUAACAC